UCCAUAGGUUAAUGAGGCGAACCGGGGGAACUGAAACAUCUAAGUACCCCGAGGAAAAGAAAUCAACCGAGAUUCCCCCAGUAGCGGCGAGCGAACGGGGAGGAGCCCAGAGCCUGAAUCAGCAUGUGUGUUAGUGGAAGCGUCCGGAAAGGCGCGCGAUACAGGGUGACAGCCCCGUACACAAAAGCGCAUAUGCUGUGAGCUCGAUGAGUAGGGCGGGACACGUGGUAUCCUGUCUGAAUAUGGGGGGACCAUCCUCCAAGGCUAAAUACUCCUGACUGACCGAUAGUGAACCAGUACCGUGAGGGAAAGGCGAAAAGAACCCCGGCGAGGGGAGUGAAAAAGAACCUGAAACCGUGUACGUACAAGCAGUGGGAGCACAGGUUUACCUGUGUGACUGCGUACCUUUUGUAUAAUGGGUCAGCGACUUAUAU
rnacentral:rRNA from 1 species